GACAGAGGUGCCGAGCGUUAGGCGGAAUCACUGGGCUUAAAGCGUGUGUAGGCGGAUGCCUAAGUACCUUGUGAAAUCCCACGGCUCAACCGUGGAACUGCUUGGUAUACUGGGUGUCUUGAGCUAUCUAGGGCAACUGGAACAACGGUGGAGCGGUGAAAUGCGUAGAUAUCAGGAGGAACACCGGUGGCGAAGGCGGGUCUCUGGGCCGAUACUGACGCUGAGGAGCGAAAGCGUGGGGAGCGAACAGG
rnacentral:rRNA from 1 species